rnacentral:rRNA from 1 species
UACGUAGGGUGCGAGCGUUGUCCGGAAUUACUGGGCGUAAAGAGCUCGUCGGGGGUUUGUCGCGUUGUUCGUGAAAUCUCACGGCUUAACUGUGAGCGUGCGGGCGAUACGGGCAGACUAGAGUACUGCAGGGGAGACUGGAAUUCCUGGUGUAGCGGUGGAAUGCGCAGAUAUCAGGAGGAACACCGGUGGCGAAGGCGGGUCUCUGGGCAGUAACUGACGCUGAGGAGCGAAAGCGUGGGGAGCGAACAGG